rnacentral:rRNA from 1 species
AUUGAACGCUGGCGGCAUGCCUUACACAUGCAAGUCGAACGGCAGCACGGGGGCAACCCUGGUGGCGAGUGGCGAACGGGUGAGUAACGCAUCGGAACGUGCCCAGUAGUGGGGGAUAACCAGUCGAAAGACUGGCUAAUACCGCAUACGACCUACGGGUGAAAGCGGGGGACCGCAAGGCCUCGCGCUAUUGGAGCGGCCGAUGUCUGAGUAGCUAGUUGGCGGGGUAAGAGCCCACCAAGGCGACGAUCAGUAGCUGGUCUGAGAGGACGACCAGCCACACUGGGACUGAGACACGGCCCAGACUCCUACGGGAGGCAGCAGUGGGGAAUUUUGGACAAUGGGCGCAAGCCUGAUCCAGCCAUGCCGCGUGCGGGAAGAAGGCCUUCGGGUUGUAAACCGCUUUUGGCAGGAACGAAACGGCGACCUCUAAUACGGGUCGUUAAUGACGGUACCUGCAGAAUAAGCACCGGCUAACUACGUGCCAGCCGCCGCAGUAAGAC